rnacentral:lncRNA from 1 species
AUGUCGGGGCAGGGCCGUGGCGCCAAGGAGGGCGAGCGUUGCCGACCCCCGGGCUUGAUUCUGAAUCUUGCAGCGGCGUUUUCUGCGAUCCCGCCUCAGCCCAGGAUGCCUGGCUUCACGCUCGUGCGCUUUCCCUCGCCCCAGAUGGCUGUCGCUGCCGACUGCUCGCCGCGCCGUCCUCAGGCAGGCUGGCCGCCCCGCCGUGUGUGUGGCGGUGACAUUACCCCCGCUCGGGACAGCCACCUCCUUUCCUCGUUUGCUGCUAGAGAGCUGCAUUGCCCGAAAGCAGAAAACAACAGCGAUCUGCAGGAGGGAGGCUCUGGGGGGAGACCGUCCGGGGCUGGGAGCGGAGGGGGCUGCAGAGGGGCCGGAGAGGGCCAGCAAGAGACGCGGGAUGGUGCAGGGGGACGUGGAGGGCAGAGGAGACGCAAGACGGAGCGAGAGGUUUGGGCCGCGCGCGGGCUCAAGGGUGGCGGCUGCAGGAGGCUGACGGGGAGGUCGCGGGCGCCGAAGGGGCUGGAGAAGUGCGAGGAGGGGGCAAGCAAAGCACUGUGGGAUAGGAGGAGACUGAGAAAAACAAAGAGACCUAACGGGAAACGCGGAGAAAAAGAGGYCGAGAGGAGCAGGAGAAGGCUAAAGAUAGCUGGGAAGCUGGGAGUGGUUGGGAGAAGGGAGAGGGAAGGGAGCAGGAGCUGCAGGGCAGAUGGAUGCGGGACAGGCUGGGGACAGAAAGGAGGAGACAGGGCGAGAAAGGGGAGGGAGACAGGCCAGCUAGCGAUGGGCAAGCGUGGAGAAAGACCAAGCGCCUGCAAGGAGAUGGCAGCCUCUCCCAAGCAAGCUGAAACGGCGCCUGCUUUCCGAGUGUUUAUUUUGAGGCUGACUUUUGCUCCUAAAAUGUUUUACACCUUUUGGGGGCAGGCGACUUCCAAAACACCCCCAGCACCAGAAGGGAGGAAAGGGCAUCCCUUAUUCUCAUCCUUCUUCCCAGCUGAAUUUUUAUUGCUUUUUAAACCUAAUGGGUUUUAA